CAAACAUAUGGCAGAGUGAUCUACUGUGAGACGGCUGUUUGGACCUCUGCCCAGCCCUUCAGGGAUCUCAGGAUCAGUAAGAACCAAUAGUUCUAGGAGAGCCUGCUGUUACUGCUUUGUAUUACUGCCCUGAAUCUUGAUUGUUCACAUCCCCUGUAAACAGUGUUCAUUUUAUGCUAUGUGGAUGUUCCUGAUAUCCAGCAGCUAAAUCAUCUCACGUUGCCACAAGAGAAAACUCAAAGAAUUGGUGAAGUUGCAAAGUCAGGUAGCCAAAUGUCAAGAAACACUUGAGCUCAGGUUGCUGGUGCAACUUUAAUUCUGCUGUCUUCCUGAGAGUAUCUCAACUAUGGCCUGAUGGAGGAACUGUCUACAAAGCACAUUUAAGAGUCUGCAGCUGGCCAAACCUGAGCAGAGUUCUUAACUUGGCAACUCACUUAGCCUUUGCAGCCUAUGCACAAGAUGAAAAGAGAGCUGCAUCCUUGCAUGUCCACAGGAUGAGUUUUCUUUGGAGCUCUAGUAUGUGAUUACCUUCACUGCAGACUAGAAACAUUAUUCAUUCACUGAAUUCUCUGCAGACACCAAUGCUGAGACAAAAGAAAGUUAAAAAGUGGACAUUUCAACAAGAUGUUUCAGUUCAGUAUCUAGUCACUUUCAAUUUUGCUGUUCUGACAUUAGCACAACAUUGUUGCAUGGAUGUGUAUAUAAUGUGUACAGGUUUAUUUUGGAAGAAGUUGGCAUACAUCCUGCUCCUUUCUGAUUUAAGGUCACAAAGUUACCAUAAAGACCUAAUCAUUUCUGAGAUAUAAAAAGCAAAUAAAGUUUAAAAAAACAAAAAAA